GACGAACGCUGGCGGCGUGCUUAACACAUGCAAGUCGAACGGAAAGGCCCUGCUUUUGUGGGGUGCUCGAGUGGCGAACGGGUGAGUAACACGUGAGUAACCUGCCCUUGACUUUGGGAUAACUUCAGGAAACUGGGGCUAAUACCGGAUAGGAGCUCCUGCUGCAUGGUGGGGGUUGGAAAGUUUCGGCGGUUGGGGAUGGACUCGCGGCUUAUCAGCUUGUUGGUGGGGUAGUGGCUUACCAAGGCUUUGACGGGUAGCCGGCCUGAGAGGGUGACCGGCCACAUUGGGACUGAGAUACGGCCCAGACUCCUACGGGAGGCAGCAGUGGGGAAUAUUGCACAAUGGGCGGAAGCCCGAUGCAGCAACGCCGCGUGCGGGAUGACGGCCUUCGGGUUGUAAACCGCUUUCGCCUGUGACGAAGCAUGAGUGACGGUAAUGGGUAAAGAAGCACCGGCUAACUACGUG
rnacentral:rRNA from 1 species